GACGAACGCUGGCGGCGUGCUUAACACAUGCCAGUCGAACGGAAAGGCCCUGCUUUUGUGGGGUGCUCGAGUGGCGAACGGGUGAGUAACACGUGAGUAACCUGCCCUUGACUUUGGGAUAACUUCAGGAAACUGGGGCUAAUACCGGAUAGGAGCUCCUGCUGCAUGGUGGGGGUUGGAAAGUUUCGGCGGUUGGGGAUGGACUCGCGGCUUAUCAGCUUGUUGGUGGGGUAGUGGCUUACCAAGGCUUUGACGGGUAGCCGGCCUGAGAGGGUGACCGGCCACAUUGGGACUGAGAUACGGCCCAGACUCCUACGGGAGGCAGCAGUGGGGAAUAUUGCACAAUGGGCGGAAGCCUGAUGCAGCAACGCCGCGUGCGGGAUGACGGCCUUCGGGUUGUAAACCGCUUUCGCCUGUGACGAAGUGUGAGUGACGGUAAUGGGUAAAGAAGCACCGGCUACCUACGUG
rnacentral:rRNA from 1 species